rnacentral:rRNA from 1 species
GUCUACAGCCAUACCACCCUGAACACGCCCGAUCUCGUCUGAUCUCGGAAGCUAAGCAGGGUCGGGCCUGGUUAGUACUUGGAUGGGAGAAUCUCAGGCAGACU